CCUACGGGAGGCAGCAGUGGGGAAUAUUGCACAAUGGGGGAAACCCUGAUGCAGCGACGCCGCGUGAGUGAAGAAGUAUUUCGUUAUGUAAAGCUCUAUCAGCAGGGAAGAAAAUGACGGUACCUGACUAAGAAGCCCCGGCUAACUACGUGCCAGCAGCCGCGGUAAUACGUAGGGGGCAAGCGUUAUCCGGAUUUACUGGGUGUAAAGGGAGCGUAGACGGCAGUGCAAGUCUGGAGUGAAAGGCGGGGGCUCAACCCCGGGACUGCUCUGGAAACUGUCAGGCUGGAGUGCAGGAGAGGUAAGCGGAAUUCCGAGUGUAGCGGUGAAAUGCGUAGAUAUUAGGAGGAACACCAGCGGCGAAGGCGGCUUACUGGACUGUAACUGACGUUGAGGCUCGAAAGCGUGGGGAGCAAACAGGAUUAGAUACCCUAGUAGUC
rnacentral:rRNA from 1 species